UACGUAGGGUCCGAGCGUUGUCCGGAAUUACUGGGCGUAAAGAGCGCGCAGGCGGUCGUUCAAGUCGCGUGUGAAAGCCCCCGGCUCAACUGGGGAGGGUCACGCGAUACUGAUCGACUCGAAGGCAGGAGAGGGUAGUGGAAUUCCCGGUGUAGUGGUGAAAUGCGUAGAUAUCGGGAGGAACACCAGUGGCGAAGGCGACUACCUGGCCUGUUCUUGACGCUGAGGCGCGAAAGCUAGGGGAGCAAACAGG
rnacentral:rRNA from 1 species